UAGAACAACGUGGAAGCGGCUGGGGCCGACUGGCAGCGUGUUGGGGUCUCCAGCUGCCUAUCAUUUUACUGGACAUUUAAAAAGCACUGUUCUAGGCACUUGGGAGACACCAGAGAAGCUGGUGAGCCAGUGUGAAGAACUGGUGGGAAAGAACUUGGAAAGGUCCAGGGAAACAGGCCAAGAUGUCCCUUUCAGAUGAGGGGACACGGGUUCGAGCCCUGGUCCGGGAAGAUCCCACAUGCCGCGGAGCAGCUGGGCCCGUGAGCCACAAUUACUGAGCCUGCGCGUCUGGAGCCUGUGCUCCACAACAAGAAGGCCGCGAUAGUGAGAGGCCCGCGCACCGCGAUGAAGAGUGGCCUCCGCUUGCCACAACUAGAGAAGGCCCUCGCGCAGAAACGAAGACCCAAC